UACGUAGGUGGCAAGCGUUGUCCGGAUUUACUGGGCGUAAAGAGCGCGCAGGCGGUCGUUCAAGUCGCGUGUGAAAGCCCCCGGCUCAACUGGGGAGGGUCACGCGAUACUGAUCGACUCGAAGGCAGGAGAGGGAAGUGGAAUUCCCGGUGUAGAGGUGAAAUUCGUAGAUAUCGGGAGGAACACCUGUGGCGAAGGCGGCCACCUGGACGACAACUGACGCUGAGACG
rnacentral:rRNA from 1 species